AUGAGACUCCUGGGUCUCCUCUUGUGCCUGCUGACAGCCCCCUUGGAUGAGUGUGUCCGGUCCCAAGUGCAGCUGCAGGAGACAGGACCAGGACUGAUGAAGCCCUCACAGACUCUCUCCCUCACCUGCACUGUCUCUGGUGUAUCCAUCACCAGUACACACUGUAGCUGGAUCCGCCAGCCCCCAGGGAACGGGCUGGAGUGGAUUGGGUACCUAUAUAGUGAUGGAAGCACUUACUACAGCCCAUCCUUCAAGAGCCGAGCCUCCGUCUCCAGAGACACGUCCAAGAACCAGUUCUCCCUCCAGAUGAGCUCCGUGACCACUGAGGACGCAGCUGUGUAUUACUGUGAAAGAAGAACACUGAGCAGAAGUGCAGCAAGUGCCAUCUAG